CGCUUGGGCCGCUGCCCAGGAGAGUUUCAGGUGCCACCCUGCUGAUUUUAGCUGGGGGUCCAAUAGGCAGGCACAUGUGUUUCUCCUGGCAGUGCACAGCUGCACGUGCCUCGGUGCCAUUAACAAAAUUUAUUCCACACGUAGAUGAAAAAAAUUGUAAAGGGGGGGGGGCUGCUGCUGCUCCUGGUCAAGGUUUUCAGAGAAGCCUGGGGUCUGCAGCUUGGAUAUUAGGAAAAACGAUUUCACUAGGAGGGUGGUGAAGCACUGGAAUGGGUUACCUAGGGAAGUAGUGGAGUCUCCAUCCCUAGAGGUGUUUAAGUCCCGGCUUGACAAAGCCCUGGCCGGGUUGAUUUAGUUGGGAUUGGUCCUGCCUAGAGCAGGGGGCUGGACUUGAUGACCUCCUGAGGUCUCUUCCAGCUCUAUGGUUCCAUGAUUCUAUGAGCUGGGGUUGCUUUGUAGCUGACCCACACAGCCAGGGAACCUGGGAGGGCAGAGGUAAAAUUCAUCCAGGGCCAGGUUGGAGAAUUGCUCUGCAGUCAGGAAGCUGGAAUUCAGUGCAGCCCAGAGCAUCAGGCUACAUGAUUACAGCUUCCAAGUAACCGGCGGCAUCCCUUCCUUGGCUCCCACCAUGGGACAUGUUCUCUCAUGGCCAGGACUGUGGGCGGGGGUGUCAGACCUCUGGGGCAGACCACACUGCUGCUGAUUGCCUCUUGGAUUAAUGCACAGAGUGCUUUUGUAGCCCAGCUAUGUGGAGUAGGAAUGAGCAGGGCAGGGCUGAGACAGGCAGGAGGUACAGGGAAGGCAGCAGGGUAUGUCUCUACCACAAUCCUACAGGACUGCAGACUACAGCCCAUGCCUGGCUUUUAGGAUUGGGUGUCCUUGGAGAGCUCUCUUCCGCUUCAGAAUGCUGAGAGUGAGCGAACAGGGCAGAACUGAGACCCCAGCCAGGACUGCGAGGAGGAGAAUGAGUGCUGGGCUGUGGAGGACACUGCCCCACUAUUGAGUAGUUCCUGUCCUGAUGAUUAGCCAUACUCCUGAGUAACUAAAAACAUCCAAGACCCCCAUGGCAUUCAGAUCAUUGGGAGUAUACUGUAUUUUCUUUAGGGAAAAACAAUCAAAUGGGCCUAAUUGUUAAGGUUAGAGCUGCCUCUGGAGGAGUGGGAGCUGGGACCCACCCCCAUUCAUCCCAGGCCCACUUCCUUCCCACCUCUUUUUACCCUCGCUCCACCCCUUCCUCCAAGCCAUGUGACCCCAGGGGAUUAGUGGGUGGCCUAGCAGCAGGGGUUGGGUCUGCCCCUGCAUUCACCCAUGGAGGGAAGCAGAGUGACCUAACCCAUUCUGCUCCACUGGCUACCAGUCACAUUACUGUUGAGUAUGGGGUGGGGGAAUCCUACUUCUUUGCCCAGACCUCCUCCCCCACCAACCUGACUGGGGUAGCAAACUGGCUUGAGGCUAAGUAGAUUCACUUCCCCUGCCUCUUAGUGCAGGGGUAGGGAGAGCAGUGAAACCCCCUUCGUACUUACUCACCCUGGCUGCCCUGAGCCCCACAUGGCCCGGGGAGAUUGCCCUGAGCCAUCCAAUGGAUUGGACAGCUCUGGUUAAGGUGGGAGUACUGCUAACAAACGUGGGAAUUAUAGUGGAUCACAAAUUGAAUGAGAGCCAACAAUAUGAUUGUUGUGAAGAAGGCUAAUAUGUUAAGGUAUAUUAACAGGAGUGUAAUAUGUUAGAUGUGGGAGGUAAUUGUCCUGUUUUACUCAAUGCUGAUUAGGCCUCAGCUGGAGUACUGUAUCCAGUUCCAUACCUUAAGAAAGUUGUGAACAAAUUGGAGAGUGCACAAGAGAGCAACAAAAAUGAAAAACCUGAUUUAUAAAGAAUGACUAAAAAACUAGGCAUGUUUCAUCUUGAGAAAACAAGGUUGAAGGAGGAUCAGAUAAGUCAAGUAUUUAUAAGAAAGACUAUGUUCUGUUUCUGCUUCUCCUACCGUCAGCAGUGAGUUUAAUCUGUUAACUAUAAGGCUAGAUAUGUUCUGGAAUAGGCUUCCAAGGGAGGUUGUAGAUUGGAUUUGUUGGACUUCUCUGUGUUAAGCUCAAGUGAGCCUUCCCCCUCCUACCAUCAUACACUGCAACUUUAAAACAGAAUCCCAUGGAAGCAAUUCUGUUUUAAUCUGCCUUUCAGUUGCUCUGUAACACAGAGCAAACAAGUAUGUUUUACAAACGAUAUUGUCUUUGUUCUGUUAAUAAAGCUCAUCUUUUAAAGACCAUGAUUUGAUUCCUGUGUCCUAGAAGGCAGGAGAUUGUGUGCAUGUGCCUAAAACUACAAGGUCAGCUCUUUCUGGGUUCUCAAAGGGGUUUUUGCAUUUGGGUGGUGAUAGCAUACCCUCCAGGCUCAGGGAACCAUGGAGUUUUUAAACAGAAGCCUUUAGUGGCAGGGUAUAUUAAAGUCUUUUGUAGGCCCCCACCUCCUGCUCUUGAAGUGUCCCAGUGGGAAAUAGCCUUGAUAGUAUUGAUUUACUUCAUUGGCUAGGGAAUAUGCUUUUAAAUCCUGCAAUGGAAGUAUCAGCAUUUAUUUAUUUAAUGGUUGGACAGGCUGAAUCACAAGUUAGUUAUUGCACUUCACAUUCAUAGAAAUGUCAGUUGAGAUCCUUUGUACUUGGCACCAAUAGGCACUAUAGUCCCUGCCUCUCCAGUGUCAGCUCUUCCCAUUGGGCCUGGGGUAGUGGUAACCAGGCAGCUCACAGGGCUAUAGUACUCAAAGUCCAACUUCAUUCAGCAUUUCUGAUGUGUCUUCCUGCCUUGAUGUGCUGCUUUUCUGUAGUGGUAUCAAUCAGUUUGCAUUCCAUUGCACCCAUGCAAAAAAAAGUUGACUUGGAUAUCUCAAUGUAGAUUCAUAGUGAAAGCAAGGUACUGUGGUUUUUACUUCAAUGUAAUUAGUCCAGAUAAAUCUCAGGUAGGCAUAUAGCUGAUGACCAUGAUAACUACAGUGAGAUAUAAAUUACCUUUACUUUGUCUCCUCUAGGAUUUUACAUUGAGGUAGCUAACUUGAGAUAGCAAUGUAAAAACACAGUGAAGCACCAGUUUUUUGAGCCUAUCCUUGGGCAUUAACUCUUUUUUCUUUUUCCCCCUGGAUCUCCCAUGGACUAGAAGCUUGCAUGCAUGACAAAUAAAUUGGGCAGAGUGGGGUGCCUCUUUGCUAUCACUUCAGCUGAAAGAACCAUUGCCUAACAAUGGUUAACUGUGUGGCCUGCACACUCCUACGGCAUCAGUUUUCAAAUAAUGGUAUCCUUCAGGGUAGCACCGGUUUCAUCCACCACCCAUCAAAAGUACUUAAGGAUACAUGCCAAGAAUAGGCAGCACUUAGUCAUACAAAACUAAGCAAUUUUUAUUUAUAAUACCAACACAGUCUACAUUUUUGUGAACAAAUACAUUCCAUUCUCAGUUCAUGAUCCUAGGAAUUGAUAAGGUCUUCAUUGAAAGGCUUGCAGAGGCUUUGUGGGGGCAGCUCCUUCACUUCUACUUGCAGUGCUCUAGUUCUCUUUGCACAGGGUCCAGAGAAUUAGCAGUGUCAAAUCAGAAUAAAAUUACAUUAUUUCAAUAAUUUUAUACUGGCCUGAUGAAAGAGAAAAACAUUCACUGCUGGUUGUUCAUCUGCUGUUAGAUUGCCCAGAGUUGAUUGGAUUUGAAGAUACAGGCACAUGUCUCAGCUUUGAAGUGGCUAGAUAGGAACUGAUGAAAUAGCAAUAAUAUGUCCUACCACUCCCUCAAGCUUCUUACCCUUCUUAUAAACUCUGAUUCUGCAAUUUUUCUUAACAGCUAAGAAUUCCUUGAUCUAAGAUCUUAAAUAAGGCCCUCUCUGUACUUCCCUCCACUUCUAUGAACAAAGGAAAAAGUAUGGUUUUAGAUCUGGUUCAGUGGAAAGGGACUGACAUUGUGUAUUGAGGGACAGUGAAGGGUCUUUAUGGAUUUGACAGAUUCUCUACUAUACCCUCAAAGCCAGAAGGCUACAGAAGUAAGUUAUUGUAGACUCAGCCAUGUCAGUUACAAAUAGGGAGGUAGUGCUACUGAUAUUGACAUAGAUUCUUGGGGAGCUGACAACUGAGAAGCCGUGCUAUUCAAGAGCCACAGUGAGUAAGGUGUGCUUGGCAACAUCAACUUCAAAAGUCAGGAAAUACAUUUUUUAUGGUCAAACACUGUUCCUACUGUGCUUCUGCCUUUAAUGCACCAUUCUAAAAUAUAUGAUGUAAUGCAAAUGAGAUUUUUAUGUAUAACCUUACAGAAACUAAGAAUGUAUUAUUUUGAACGUGGCUUAAAGUUUGCCUCAGUGGUAUCUGCAAACAAACCAUGUUUGAAAGAUCAUUGCAAGAGAUUUAAAGUAAUAGAUGUUUAUGGCUAAAAGUUUAAGACCAUACCAAGUUUGACACAAUCCCUCUAUUUGAAGUGCUCUAAAAUUGGGACGAGGGAACAAACAAAAAGCCUCACAGUGACAGUAUCGGUAUAAAAGCAGAAAGCAUGAGUUCAACUAUCCUCAUAUUGACUGGGAAAAUGUUACCUCAGGGCAUGGUACAGAAAUAAAAUUCUAGACACCAGCAAUGACAAUUUCUUGGAGCAGCUAUUCCUGGAAAAACAAAGGGAGAGGCAAUUCUUGACUCAGUCUUUAGUGGAAUAUAUGAGCUGGUCCAAUCAAUAGCUGAGCUGUGCAGAAAUAAUGAUUCUAAUGUAAUUUAAUUUAACAUCUUUGUGGAUACUUCCCCAUCAUGGUAACAUUUAACUUUAAAAAAGGGAAACUACACAAGAAUGAGGAUGCAUGUAAGAUGGAAAUUAAAAGGAACAAGAAUUAAAUAUUUGCAAGAAACAUGGGGACUAUCUAAAAACAUUGUAAUAGACACUCAGGCCUAAAUGUACACCCACAUCAAAAUAGAAAAUCACAUUAAUGGAACCAUGGCUAAAACAGCAGCAUAAUGGAUGUGAUUAGAAGGAAAAGACAUCCAUUAAAAAUUGAAGUCAAAUCCUAAGGAGGAUAGUAUGAAAGUGGACAAACUCUGGCAAGUUAUGUGUAAAUGUAAUAAUAUACUAGGUCAAGAGAGAAUUUGAGGAGCAACUUGCUAAAGACUGGAAAACUUACAAUUUUUUGUUUUUAAAUAGCGGAGAAGCAGGAGGCUGCCAAACAGAUCACUAGAUGAGCAUGAUGUUCAAGGAGCCCUCAGGAAAGACAAAGUCAUUGCAGAGAAGCUAAGUUAAUUCUUUUUAUUGGUCUUCACUGCAGAAGAUGUGGGAGAUACCUCUGUAUCAGAGCUAUCCUUCUUGGGGGGAGGUCUUGGAACAAAUCGAUAAGACAAUAAUAAAUCACCGGGAUCAGAUUAUAUUCACCCAAGAAUUUACAUAAGAAAUUGUAAAACUAUUAACUGUGAUAUUAAAUCAACUUCGGUACAGAUGAUUGGAGGAUAGCUACUUUUUUAAAAAGGUUCCGGGGUCAGUCCUGAAAAUGGCAGCCUAUGACAGUCUGUACUUCAUGUUCACCCUUUUUACAAAACUGAUACAUUUUGUACAAAGUAUGUCUUAUGAGCUGUCAUUGGAAAACUCAAGUCCUUAUUGUCCAGGCUACAUUGUGUGACAACAUUAACUUGUAAGAUUGUACUGUAUGAUAGGCAUAUUCCAAAUCUGGGGAAGCAGCCCAAACCAGGUUCUCAGAGAAAGAUGGCAAACCGAAACCGUUGCUAGGUGUCUACAAAAUUAAAUAGACUAUCAUCUGAGUAUGUGACCAAUCUUUGGCAGAAAGGCAGAUAACAACAAGAAAUUCACAUCUUGGCAGUUUCCGAGCAACAGACUUGCUGUGGCCUGAACCUCAGAUGAUUUUCAAAGAGGAAAAUGACUAAAAAGCAAGACUAGAGAAUACCGAUCUUUCCUUUCAUCUCUACUUAUGGCACCAAAAAUCCUUGAAAGACAGAGGAAGCAUCAUUUUCUGGAGAGUGAUCCUGUCUGCAAGAUUCAACCAGUGAAACUGCUAGAACACAUGGUAUAACUUUUACAGUCCUUGCUAAGUCAAGACUCCCAUAGACUGAGUAAGACCUGAGUAAGGACUGCAACAUUUCAGCUACAAGUAUAUAAUUGUGUAAGACCAGAAGCAACCAAAUGAAUCCUUUUCAUCUUGAAAGAUGUGUAAUUAGGCACCCAAUCUGAGACACUUAGUACUUGCUUCUUCAAAGGUGAAGAGAACCCAGUUUCAACUGACUUCAUGGACACAAAUCAGAUAUCAGGAAUGGUAACACACACAAACCUGUAGGGGGACAUUUUAACCUCCCUGGACAUUCAAUAAUGGAUUUAAAAGUAGCCAUUCUUCUACAAAGGGAUUUUACCACCCAGUUUCAGAGAGAGACUGCUGAAUUGGAAUUCAUUUACAAGUCUGACACUGUCAAUCUGGGCUUCAAUAAAGAUAUUAAUUGGUUAACAAAUAAAAAGCCAAUUUCCCAUGCCUUUGACAUUCUGAUUUCGCAUCAAAAUCUAUGAAUGGGACACAUCCAGACUACUUAAUUAGCUUCAUUAACAUGGGUUCUACAAUCGGCAGGAAUCUGCUUUUGCUGGUAUGUAUAACUUGGAUUCUGAAAUUUCCACUCCUACUCAUCUGAUGAGGUGGGUUUUACAUAUGAAAGCUCGUGAUCCUAUAUAUUUGUUAGUCUCUAAUGUAUGCCCUGUUUCUGUGAAAUAUCUGCUUUAAUACACAAUUAUGCCUGUGUUGAGUCCCAUUAACUUUAGCAGGUCUCAAUGUAGGUCUAAAGGUUCAAUCCACAGAUAAUUUUGAAGGAUCAGGGCCAAAACAUUACACUUCUCUGUAAAGCCUCUUUUUAUAUUGGAAAGACAGCAAACUCACUCUUGUCCAGUCACACUUAGUAUAAAUCUACUUUGGUAUUAAAAAGAUUUAAAAUAAUGGCUCAUCUAUAGUUGCUUCCUCUUUCAAUAUUAAGGAAUACAAUUUUUGGUAAGAUUAAUUUGUACAGUUUCCAUUUCAUCUAUUAAAGAGAAAAAACGCUUAGAUCUCUGAGGUUUUGGAUUGAUUUCAUGUAAUUUGCCUUAUAUGAAAUCUCUAAGCCUUUUUUAUUAGAGUUAAAUAUGUCCAUUUAUCUAUAUUCUUUAGGAUCAUUAUGGCUAGCAUCAGGACUUCUGUUCUGGUACUGUCAACUGUAUCCUAAAACAGUGAUGUUUUAUUUUUUAAGUUAUUCUGAUAUAAGUUUGCUUUGGAUAUAAAGUAAAAUGUCAUCACUUGUGUAGGAUGAAAAUUUUAUGGCUGACAUUUCCUUCUGUUGUUUUCUCUCGUACAAGCUGCCAAUAGUUCAAAUGAAAGGAGGCUUGUGGUUUCUAGCUAAAAACACUCCAUUUUUGGGAAAGAAAACCAUCAUGUUUAUUGGAUUUUGCAGAGAUUCAGGGUUAUGUGGCUGAAGUGACUAAUGCAUUGAUGGCAAGACUUCAAAAAGAAUAACAGAUCAAAGGCUUGUGUCAGUCUCAGCGAUCUGAUUUGUUACAAUUAUAAAGGGCUUCUUAAUUGAUUUAUCUUUAAGUAUGAUUUCUAAUGUAGUUAUACUGUGAGAAUUAUUCAUCUGCUUCUCUUAAUGGUGAGAAGCCACAUGCUCAAUAUGCCAUAAAGCGAGGAAAAUCGUGUCCCAUACAGAACUGUAAUGGGCACUGACCUAUAGAAUACUGAGGAUCCAAAAAGGCCUAUCUGCUCAAGACUAUCUAUAAAGAAAAUUAUUAUAGGGAACAGGAGAACUCUCAAGCACAAAAAUGAUUGUAACCUUUCUACACCAGAGACCUUAUUUUCAUUCUUGUAUCAUUUGCACGGUAUACAGAAACAAUAUAAAUUAUUAUAAUUAAGAAUGAUUAUGUAGGAGGGGAAGAGUGGAUAGCAAACAAUGGCGGGAUUUAAGUGCUGUUGUUAAUAUGCUCUCUAAAGAAAACAGAGAGGAGUCAGGGUGUCAGAAAGACUAGUGAAUAUGUACAACAGUAUCCUAAGAAAUGUCCCAGUUGUUGAAACUUACUAGUAAGUAUCCUCCAGCUAACAGACAGAAGUACAAAAGAAUUAGGGAUAUUUGGAGGAAAUAACUCUGUCAAACAAAGGUGAGAUCUUGAAUAAAAUGUGACCAUUUGCAUAUUCAGAAGUCUCCAGAGGAUAACUUGCCUAUAAUUGUGGGAAAACUGCAUACAUCUAAGCCAAUGUGUCACACUAUGCUGGUGUUAGAUAUUGAAACAAAAAUGCUUCUGAAACAAGACUGGAUAAGGUAAUAGAUUUUUCUAAAUUUAGUUAUAACACCAAAAACAAAGUUUCUGGUAGAUUUCAACUACUUAGCAAAUGUAGGGCCUGAUCCAGCAAACCUUUAUUCACUUGUUCACAUAAGUUAAACUUAGAUAUAGCCCUUUCAACUUAGGUGCCAGAUUUUGAGAUUUUUGCUAUACAGAGUAGUUCCACUUAAGUUAUUAGGACCAUUUGUAGAGCAAGAUUCUUCUAACUGUGAGAAAAGGAUCAGAAUAUGUCUUUAAAUAACUUUGAUUUUUCUUCUGACAGAACAAUGCAAAAAGUAACAUUUUACUACAUUUAGGGGACAUCUGAUGUGAUAUGAAAUCAGAAAAUUAGUGAAGAUCUGCCACACUCUCUCAUCUGCUCCAAUGAUAAAUUUAGAGAAGAUAUAAUACAGCUGUUCCUACUCAAAUUUCUCUGUGGGGCAAACAUAUCCUUUUUUACAGAGAUUUGGGCACUGCUUCUGUGUUCUCUUCCCCUAUCUGUUCUAGAUAUUUCCUCCCUAAUCUGUUGUGUGUUAUAUACUCUUCCCAUUGGCUGAGAACAGUGAACCAUGGCCAAUAGGAGCUGCAGGUGGCUCUACCUGCAGAUGCAAGGCAAACAACCUGUCUGGUGGUCUGCGGGUGGCUUAUUCUGAUGAGCUGUGUGUGGCCCAUGGGCCGCAGGUUUCUCUCCAGUUGCUACACUGUGCAUUUACAUGCUACUUUGUAGAAUGACUGUAAGAGACAAGGAACAUGUAGCUUGGGACUUGGGGCCAUGGAGAGCACAGCUGGGCUCAGUGCAAGAUUUACAGGCUCUCUGGCCGCGAAAGUGGCAAGCAAGAUGGGGAUUGGCGAGCAUAGAGCGCAGCCCCCUAGGAAUCCUAAUCAAAGAUGUGGUAAGAAUCAACAUGAUGUGUACAUGUCAGGAAAGCUAAUGAAGGAUUGUUAUUUGUUAUUACAUUACCUUUUACAUUGUGUAUAUCUCAUUGAAUUAAUGAAAUAUGAAUGGAACCUUGGAAAUGCUAAUGAAUGACUUCCUGAUUGUAACAGAAAAUGCUAAUUUUAAAGCAAGAAAUUGUGAAGGAGUAAAGAUUCUUUUCACAUUGCUUUCUGCAUGGAAAAGCUAUAAAUAUGAUUCAAUAAAGGAUCCAGCAUUUCUGAACUAUUUGGAUAUCAGAAGGAACCCCGAGAAACAUAUAGAAAAUUAGCACAUUACUGCAUCUCUGCUUUCAUUUCAGAUUUAUAAACUUAGACUCACCUGUUAAUGUAUUUUACUUGCUUUAACCUCUGAAUAGCUCACUUCUCUUUCUUAGCUAGUAAACAUUCAGUUAGUUUAUUAGAACAGCUGGCUGCCAGUGUUGUGUUUGGUGUAGAGACAGUAUCUAUUUACAUAUCACCUUCAUAUUGGUUCACAUAAAAUUCAUGUGGGAGGGGCACAGCCAAGGGGUUUGAGUGUGGGAUGGGGCCGAAGUCUGAGGCAGAGGGCUGGGGUUCAAGGUCUCUGGCUGGGGUUGCAGGCUCUAAGCUGGGGCUAGGGAUGAGGGGCUCAGAGCUGGAACAGAGGGCUAUGUUGAAAGGGCUCUGUCUGGGGGUAUGGGCUCUGGGGUGAAGUCAGCGAUGAAGGGCUUAGGGCUGGGACAGAGGCAGGGGCAUGAGUUGGGGUUCCAUGGCCAGGCUUGGGCAUGGGUAGGGCCAAGCCGCUCCCUUCAUGGCGAGGUGAGUCUGGGUCCAGGUUGAGGUUGCAUUUGAGCUGGGGAGAGGCUUCUGGUUUAGGCUGUCCCCCUCUUUGCCACCAUGGUGCAGGCUAGGUUGAGGAUGGGGGUUGCCUUCCUUCCUGGCUGUGCAGGUGCCUUGAAUGCCUACGCAGUACUAACUAGGCAGCUGUGUGGUCAUACAACUUAUAGGGAACUUAAGUGGCAGACCACACUGGAAAGUAUAAGGGGAUUGUUUGUGAUGUCAUAGUAAUACCGGUAAAAAGAUCCAGGAGUGCAUUUAUUAUUGGCUUGGUGAAAUCUAAUUAUGGUCUAUACUACCACUUUAUGGUAUCUGCCCUUGUUUUCUGAGUUUCACCUGAUACUGGCAUUCACAGUUGUGAGCAGACAGCAUAACGGAGCAUCUAUCUAUUCGAACAGGGAAGUUAAUAACAUGAUUUCAUCUUAACUAAAACUUGAACGAGGAAAAUACUGCUCCAUGAGUAUUUAGUGCAGUGGAAGGAGGAAAGAAAGAAGCAGUAGAGCAUCCAUGUGCAAAAGUGCAAUCCCAUCAUCCCCUGAUGAACAUACAACAGGAAUGAAUGAGUGGUCAUGAAAGAUGGGGUGCCCAACUCCAACUGCCUCUUCUGACAGCUACUACUGUCUCCAGUAAAAGACCAUGUAAAUGUCUGAACCAGUCAUUAAUCAAAUUAAAAAAAAGCCAAAAAUAAGCACAAGACAAACAAGAGUCCAUCUUCUUGCUCUAUUUCUCUGCUAUAAGCAAGAAGGGGGUUCUCAAUGUUAAAUAACCAUGUCUCCCCAUAAGAGAGGAGAAUGCAGAACAUGGAAGGUGAGUUUGGGGAAAAAAGCAAUAGAAAAAUUAGAGGAAAGGAAGGAUGUGCUGAACUUGUAACUAUACUAAAUAUGAUGUUUAGAAGCAAUCAUGAAAUGGAUCUAAAAAUAAAAAGCAAUUUAAGACAUAAUGUGGGAACCUCUGUUUUAAAAGUUCCAACAGCAGAGGAAGAUACUAGCCCUACAGAUUUUGCCAACAAAAUUCAUUCUCAAUCAUGGGAUAAAAAACUCAGGAGGUCUGUAUAGCAAGAGAUGCUUUUGGAGAAGUGCUCAGGAAAUCAUCUAAAAGCGGAACAACAGGAAGCCAUAUUUUCAAAUAUAAACAAAGAAAAGCUAUUGAAAGCUGCCAAAAAGAGCAAAAGAUAUUUUAUAAAUGUUCCAAGGUUUUUGUUUUUCCCAGAUGUCUACCCCACCAUUCACAGAAAUAGCAGCGAGGAAAGAAUCUAGAGACGAAAGGAAUAAAAAAAUUAUUAUACAGGCUUUUUUAUAGCCAAACUUUCAGAUUAGGGAACUUAAUGUCAGCGGACAUGUUCCUACAGUCAGUAAAACCAAAUAAUUAAUCUCACACACUGCAAAAAGCACAAAAUAAUGGAAAACAACGGAAAUGUACUUAUUUACAGUCUCCAUAAAAACACUUUCCUACAGAAAAUAUAGCAAGUCAUCAUUAGUAGACUAUGUUUGAGAAGUAACUGAAAUCUUGCUUUUUAUAUUCUGGAUUUAUUUGUUGCUACAAAAAGGGAAAUUAGCAGGUCAUACCUGCUAUCGAAUUUAGGUAUUUGCAAUUCAAACAGAACAACAUUGUGUUGGUAUAUGGAAAUUUGAAAGCAACAUUGAUUAAGCAGUAACAAAUUAAAUAAAAUUAAGUAGACUCUUUCCUUUCCUAAGAAAAGAGAAAUGUAAAAAGUUAACAAGCAACAUAUGCAGCAAAGAAUAUCUUAGAUAUUUAAAACUCUUUCCAUUUUAACAAUCUAAGAUGGUCUUAAGGCUAUUAGCCAGGGGAUAAAAUGGUGUCCUUGGCCUCU